rnacentral:lncRNA from 1 species
GGAGCGGGAGCCGGAGCCGGGCUGCGUGGCCUCUGCCCGGAUGCGGGGCACCUCUCGCAGGACCCGGCUCGGGGCGCAGGGACCUCGGAGCCGCGGGGAGGACCCAGGUGGAGGCGCACGUGCCACGGCCAGGCGCCCCCCAGAAUGCGGGCGGAGAGCUCGGGGCGCCCGAAGUCUGCAGUGCGGAGUUCCGGGAACCAGAGCCUACCUGGGGCCCAUUCCGGAGGCCCAGGUACGUUGGGGCCAAACGCAGUCCCUCAGGCGGCUCCAGUGGCGAGGCCCGAGUCGGUGGGCACUGCCCCUGCCAGUACCCCCAGCCUUGACGUUUAGGGUCCAAGGCCCCCGGCCGCUUCCGGACCCAGCUCUCCAGGUUCCUCUCGGGUAGGACAGGAGCUGGCAGCCAGAGGAGAAGAUGCUGGUGACUUCCAGCCCCGAGUUUGCGCUCUGGACCCACCGCUCCCUUCCAGCCCCUUCCAGCCCCGCCAGCACCCGCACCGCGCCUUGGCCACCCUGCCUCUGCCCGGGACUUUCCCCCAGCGCAGCCGCCUUCCGCGAGACCCCGAGGGCUCUUGGGGUGGGACUGAAGGCUGGGAGACCAGGAGGCAGGCGCGGCUGGAGAGAGCCCUGGCUCUGUCGGUAAGGUCUCUCCCCCCCGCCCUCCCCCGCCGUCGGUGCUCCUACCCCGUGGCGCUCAGGCCCUCUCCCUCCACGCUUACACUCCUCCUCUGCCUCUUGAUGCCCUCUUCCUCCUUGGUGUCCCCUCUUCUGACUCCCUUUUCUCUCCCGCCUCACAUCUCCCUACACGGAAUCCGGAAUCUCGAUUCCCAGCUCACAGGUGCCAGCACGCGGCCCCUGGCGGCCAUCUGCCCCCCCCCCCCCUUACUGAGCAUCACAAGUGGGCGGAACAGGUGCUGGGACAGUGUGGCUGCUCCAAUGGCUCGGCUUUGUCUUCUCACACAGCUGUGGUUACUGCAGUUGCUGGCCAGGUCCCGAACUACAGCUCUGGGGAAUUCAGUCCCAUCCCAACAAGGGAUCACAGAUUCUGGCAGGCUCUCACUGUUCCCCGGGCUGAACCUGGACUUACGGACUCAAGUAAUGGGGACUACAGGGCCUUCACAUUGAUCUACAUUCCAGCCC